rnacentral:rRNA from 1 species
GACGUUUAGCGACAGAAGAAGACACCGGCUAACUCCGUGCCAGCAGCCGCGGUAAUACGGAGGGUGCGAGCGUUAAUCGGAAUUACUGGGCGUAAAGCGCAUGCAGGUGGUUUGUUAAGUUCAGAUGUGAAAGCCCGGGGCGUCAACCUCGGAAUAGCAUUUGUAAACUAGGCAGACUAGAGUACUGUAGAGGGGGGUAGGAAUUUCUAGGUGUAGCGGUGAAAUAGCGUAGAGAUCUGAAGGAAUACCGGUGGCGAAGGCGGCCCCCUCGGACAGAUACUGACACUCAGAUGCGAAAGCGUGGGGAGCAAACAGGAUUAGAUACCCUGGUAG